rnacentral:lncRNA from 1 species
GGGGUUUACAUAUUAAGGGGAAGCAAGAAAGAAGGGAAAAAUGAACGGUGAAGGAAGGGGUUUUGGGUGUGGGACCUAUUGGAGGGAGUGGUUGACUGAAAGUGUUUGAUGGUAAUAAUAAUCAGACGCAGUGAUCGCUAUGCAAUGAAGUUGCAGGCCUAGCACUUGAGAGGGUCCAAAAUUUGACUUUGGGAUGUGUGAGUGACCUCCUACUGGCUUGGAAAUAAGGAGGGUCCAAUCGUUCCCAAGUUUCUGGUGCGAUGCAUAAGUGCGAGAGGAAUCAACACCCUAAGGUGAUUAGCAGCGGAGUUUUUGGACUCGGUUAACAUCCUCACAAAUUGCACUUAAAAAGGAAAGGUGGCAAGAUUCUCGAUUGUAAACUUUCUGUCGCUAGGAAAACAAUUUAUAAAUUUGCGUUGUUGAAAGGCUUGGUUCUCUAGGGAAUUGACCAGUAUGUGUUUGUGUUUUGAAGCGUGGAAGAGUUGAAAUAAAAGAAAAGUAAUAACGAAAAUGAGGAAAGUAUAAGGGGUGGGAAUUGUAGCAGAAUUGACCGGUGUAAGCGUGGACAGAUCAGUGGAGGGAGAUGGAGGGGUGUGGGAGGUGUGUGUGCCCUGAUUUAUUCUUUUCUUCACUUUUCG